rnacentral:lncRNA from 1 species
UUUUGUUUUACUUCCUCUAAUUGAUGAUGCACUUCCUGUUCAGGAGGGUUGGAGGCGGAGCAUUCCAGCCGUACCUUCCCGACAAAGACCCCCUGCAGAGCUGGGGGGGCUCGGCCUCCUCAGGGCGUGACUGUGGCGUGCACACGGCUCAGGACGCUCUGCUCCACACGAGGAAGGAGAAGGAGGAGCAUGUAGAGGAGCGUGGGAACGUGAUUACUAGAAAGGACAGGAAAGUGACUGUCAAACCAUCCACUGCUAAACCCAGAUCUGAGCGCAAAGGGAAGUGAAACGAUGGAACAGAACAAAUGAAGAAGCAACAGAACUGAAACAACCACAAACAAGAGAUGAUCUUGUAGUUUUAUAACAUUUGUAAAGCAGAAUAUCAACGAUGGCAUGAGCGUUUGUUUUUCUAUAAAAAAUAAUCAAUGUUAGUAAAACACCAUGAAAAAAAAACAAAAAGCAAACAAAGUGCUUCCUGUGAACUGUAAUCGCAUGCUGACUGAUGGUGCAUGCCCUUUGACCUUUGACCUCUGACCUUUUCAACUGUCAUCAUCUGCAAACUAACGGAGCCGGACCCGAGCUUCCUCUGGCCCCGGGCCAGGCCACGGACCUAGUUUUGGCCCCAACAGUGACUCUACAGCCAAAAGUUCCUCCCUGGAUGGAUGUGUACGCUGACCACGCCCCCUGCCUCCCCAAGCCCCGCCCCCUUCCACACAUACGCUCUUAUUGUGACGUUAUGCACUCUACGCUCUGUGGACGCCGUGUGUGUGUGUGUGUGUGUUUAUGCAUGUCUUUGCUUCUAGCUUUAAUGCUGAGCCUCGGCCUCUGAUUGGCUCAUGGUCUCCUUUGAUGUCACGGUGAAUGAGACGCUAACCCAUCGCUCUCGUCCAAAUGCCGUUUCUUUAACGCUCACUUCCUGUCGUCGUCCACUUUAGGUUUUCAGGAACGUCUUGUUUUCCAAAACAAUCUGUUUUUCCAGAUGUUGGGAAUGUUUUCUAUGGAGAACUUCAUCCUUCCUUAGAACCUUCUCCACGCUCUUCCACCGUUUUACCCUCGAGUAGCGCUCGUCGUCUUUGAUCUGAUCCUCGAGCAGCAGCAGCUUGAGCGUAUACAGUAUAUGCAGUAGAAUCACACGCUCUGUGUAUGCUCACGUCUUUCCUUUGAUGUAACAUGGCUUUGAUGUGAGAUGGCCGAGGCCCACAUGACGCCGUGUUCGUCUUCUCAAACUCUGACCCAUGACCUUUGAAUUGUCAGGACGUUUGUAUGUGACUCAAGCACAACUCGCUCAUUUCUAUCAUCGCUUUGUGUUAAAGUCAGAGACGUUUGUCACAGCAAUAAUGACCAAGAAGUGUGUGUGUGUGUGUGUGUGUGUGAGUGUGUGUGUGUGUGUGUGUGAGUGUGUGUGUGUAUAAAGUGAGUCUUUAUCUAGACCAGACACGUCAAACACAAAACUUCCACCAUUUGGAGCAAAAAUAGUAAAUAAGGACGUCUUUGAUUUCAGACGUUAUGAGUGACUUUGAUCUGAGCAUUUAGUGACAGAUUCAAGAGCUUCAAUUUCCUUCAUUUUGUGUCCAAUUUUUUACUUAAUUUGAGGGAUUUUGUGGAAUAUUUUUUAAGGAUAAUAAUAAUUAUUAUUAUUGUAGGAUAUUGGACAACUUUAAGAGUUUUGUCCAUAAUUUGAGAUUAAAAAGUGUGGGAAAACAUUUAAAUUAACUGGUCAUUUGGACCGAAACAUUUUUUUGUAAAUUCUGAAGGAAAAAGUACAAAUUUAAACAAGAUCCCGAUUGGUGAAUAAUUGGUCGAGAUUCCUUGACUUUGCAACUAAUUUGCUGGAAAUUUUCACUGUAAUUUGACAGAAUUUGUGAGAAUAUUUCCAGGUUUUUUAAAGUAAAUGUAAUAAUUACAGAAAGUUCAUUGGGUUUCUUUUUGAAUAGGAAGAAAAAAUGAACUUUCUGGAAUUAUUACGCUUAAAUCAAGGAAACAUCAAAGCGAUCAACAGACGCCUCUGAAGGAGUCUGGCAGUUCACAGUCGAAAGAUGUGAGGAGUUCAAAAUAAAAAGUUUUAAAUGAAACCUAAACA